GUCCCGAGACAUUCCUGCCCUUGGACUGUAAAUUUUAUGCAGGAAAUCUUGGAAAUAAUGGGAACAAGACUGAAUUAGAACUGACUUUUGGCUGUUAUGAACCACUCCAAGGUGUGUGGGUUGCAUGAAACCCUCCUGGCUUUGUUUUCACCAAAUUUGAGGAUCCCCAAAUGCUGGUGAUACUGUCCGCAAGCUAGAUGGAAGAACACUAUCUGGUUGCCCUGUAAGAGUGACUGACUCUAGUAAAAUAAAGAGUGGAAUUGUCCAAUGGUGGAAAGAGAAGUCUGAAUCUUGGCCCACCUCCUUCUUGGGGUCAUCUUCCUCCUAGAGAUGAUUACUGCAGGAUUCCCCCAGAUCAGAGCAGAUCCCCAAGAAGGAGAAGCUUUUAUGAAGCCAGAGCAGGUCACUUUCUAGAGAUAAGAGAUGAGAAAGCUCUCUGUCUAGAGAGAAAUCACAAGCCAUCUUGAUCCUUCUCUAGGUUUCAUAGUCUAUCUACGUCAGAUUAAAGGAAAUAUAAG
rnacentral:lncRNA from 1 species